GAGCGAGCAAGAGAGGGGAAGAAGAGAGGGGGAGCUAGGCUUUAUAGGGAUGCGCUUCGGGCGUUCUGGGAAGGUCGGAAUCGCCGUGUGCGGAGAUUGCGGCAGCGGGAAUCCGGCGCGGAUUCGGCGCGGGCGACGCUUUCCUAACGAGGACGAAGCCUGACGCGUGGGCCCCACGCGUCAGUGGCAGCGGGCGCACGCGCGGACCGGUCCGGUUCGGGCGCGGUCGAGCGCGGUCGGCCGGGCGGUUCGGCCGGUUCGCGGCUUAGCGGGCCGGCCCAGUGAGUCGGUCCGUUCUUUUUUUUUACUCUAGCCUUUUCUUUUUCUGUUUUUCUCAUUUCUUUGAUAUCUUUUGAUUUUGAACUCCAAAUUGGUCCAAAUAAAUUCCAGAAAAUUUGUAAAAUCAUGUUUUACCAUGAUUCAACUUUUGGGAGUAGUUUCCCCUCAAAAUAAAAUAUAUAAAAAUACAUUUGCCCUAUAAAUGCCUUUAGGGCUAUAUAUCUAUUUAAAUAAAAUACUUUUUCAACUCCAAAUAAUUAUCCAAAAAUUAUGGGAUAGCUAAUAUAUGCAAUAAACCCCUUUUAUACAUAAACCCUAUUGGUUUGAAAAUCCAAAGCUUAAAUGGGUGUAAACCAAGUCUUUUAAAGCCUUUUGAGAUUCAAAUUUUGAAUUCAAAUAUGCAAUUGUGGCAUGAUGCUCAUGGAUGCAAAGCACAUGUAAAAGUUUGAAAUUUUGGGAUGUUACAGACCUAACCCCCUUAAGAUGAAUCUCGUCCUCGAGAUUCGGUGUGGCUAGCAAAGAGGUGUGGGUGGUCUUCUCGAAGAUCAUCCUCGCGUUCCCAAGUGGCUUCUUCUUCAGUGUGAUGGUCCCACUGAACUUUGCAGAACUUGAUAGUCUUGGAUCAGGUCUAUCUCUCAGCUGUAUCCAAGAUCCUGACCGGUUUCUCCUCAUAGGUGAGGUCACUCUGUAACUGGACUUCCUCAAGUGGAAUUGUAUCCCUCAGGGGUGUGUCGGCCAUCUCGGGGUGACACUUCUUCAGCUGUGAUACGUGGAAGACAUUGUGGACAUUGGAGAGUGCUCCGGUAAAUCCAACUUGUAGGCCACCUCUCCUUGUCGCGACAAGAUCCUGAAAGGUCCAACAAAACGGGGUGCUACCUUCCUUUUAUGCCAAAUCUCUUCACUCCGCGUAUCGGCGAAACUUUGAGAUACGCUCUAUCUUCAGCUUCGUAGUCCCUACGUUUUGUAUCCGCAU
rnacentral:lncRNA from 1 species